GGACCUUCAAGGAAGAGACCCGGAGCUGAGCUGAGCAUUUCAGAUCUUCUUGGUGAACUAGGACAUCACUAUGCUGGCUGCAAGGCUUGUGUAUCUCCGGACACUAACUUCUAGGGUGUUCCACCCAGCAUUCACCAAAGUCUCCUCCCCCGUUGUGAAGAAUUCAAUCACAAAGAAUCAAUGGCUCUUAACACCCAGCAGGGAAUAUGCCACCAGGUCAAGACUUGGAAUCCGCCGUGGGAAAACUGCCCAAGAACUCAAAGAGGCAGCACUGGAACCAUCAAUGGAAAAAGCAUAUAAAAUUGAACAGUUAGGAAGAUAUAUUGUUGCUGGAGGGGCUGCUGUUGGUCUUGGAGCACUGUGCUACUAUGGCUUGGGAAUGUCUAACAAGAUAAGAGCGAUUGAAAAGGCUGUAAUUUGGCCUCAAUAUGUGAGAGAUAGGAUACAUUCCACCUACAUGUACUUGGCAGGAAGUAUUGGUUUAACAGCUUUGUCUGCCUUGGCAGUAGCUAGAAGUCCUGUUCUCAUGAACUUCAUGAUGAGAGGCUCUUGGGUGACAAUUGGUGCAACUUUUGCAGUCAUGAUUGGAGCUGGAAUGCUGGUGCAAUCCAUACCAUAUGAAAAACAUCCAGGCCAAAAGCAUCUUGCCUGGUUGCUCCAUUCUGGUGUGAUGGGUGCAGUGGUGGCACCUCUGACCCUAAUGGGCGGCCCUCUCCUUGUCAGAGCUGCAUGGUGCACCGCUGGCAUCAUGGGCGGCCUGUCCACCGUGGCCAUGUAUGCACCCAGUGAGAAGUUCCUGAACAUGGGCGCACCCCUGGGCGUGGGCCUGGGUCUCAUCUUUGCAGCAUCACUAGAAUCGAUGUUUAUUCCACCUACCACUGUGGCUGGUUCCACUCUGUACACAGUGGCAGUGUAUGGUAGAUUAGUUCUUUUCAGCAUGUUCCUUCUGCAUGAUACUCAGAAAGUGAUCAAACGUGCAGAACUAACACCAAUGUAUGGAGCUCAAAAGUAUGACCCCAUCAACUCAAUACUGGCAGUCUACAUGGAUGUACUAAAUAUAUUUAUGCGAGUUGCAACUAUGCUGGCAACUGGAGGCAACAGAAAGAAGUGAAGCAACAGCAUCCGGCCUCUGAUGCAUCAUAUGCCGUCAUGUUUAGUAGGACAGAUGUUCAUUACACUCUUUGCACAAGCUGCUCUUGUUGAGGUUGGAGGAUAAAACCAUAUUGACACAUUUAAAUGUUUCAGUAAUGCAACCCCCAGGUCUGCUUUUUCUUUGAGAAUAAAUUCAGUAGUUCUCUUCUAAAUAAGCACAUAAAUAUGUCCAACUCUCAUGUUUGAGUAAUUUUAAGAUAUUUUAUUUAACAAAUAGGAAAGCUAAGGUUUACAUUAGGAAACAAGCAUUUUACCUAUUUUUGAGUUCAUUAGAGUAAGUGAAAAUUAGCAAGUUUGUGUGUACCUGUUCAUUUUUUGGGACGCAAUUUUUUUGUUGUUGUUUUGACACAGGUUCUUGCUAUAUAGUUCAGGCUGGCCUUGAACUCACUGGGUAGCCCAGGCUGGCCUCAAAUUCAAAGCAGUCCUCCUGCCUUAGCCUCCUGAGUAUUGAGAUGACAGGCAUGCCCCACCAGGACUGUCUAGGACACAAAGACUGAAGUAAUAUCAGAAUUGACAUAGAGGUUCUGGUACAGAGACUAGAGAGUGGGAUACCCACACCAUUUAUCCCCCACCCCUCAUUCUUAGGAUUGAGGCAGACAUGUGAGUAUUUGUAACAAACGAGUGAUUGCUGUUUUCUCGUUUGCCUUGGGAAUUGAGAUCUGGGGGACUCAUCCUCCUGCUCUUUCGGUGCCGUCUUCAACGUAGAGAUGUCCCAGUGAGGAUGUGUUCGGGCAGGCCAGAGUGUUAGUCACACUGGCAGUCCCCGGUGGAAUUAGGUAUAUGUGAGUUUUCCUUUUGACUCCUAAAGCAGCAUAUCCUGAAAACACCUCUAGAUAAGAUAAAAUGUUCAAAGCAUGGAAUGUAUAGCUUUUUAAAGUACACAAGCAGUAUGUUUAUAGUUUGCUGAAGAUUUGCUGCAGAAGUAGUGAUGUCUAAUGGAAUACAUCCUUUUCUCCACUUUUUGUUUUGAUAUCAUUACAAAAGCCUGCUGUGGUUUACACUGGAGGUUUUGAUGAAAGCA